rnacentral:rRNA from 1 species
UACGUAGGGCGCAAGCGUUGUCCGGAAUUAUUGGGCGUAAAGAGCUCGUAGGUGGUUUGUUACGUCUGCUGUGAAAACCUAGGGCUUAACCCUGGGCCUGCAGUGGAUACGGGCAGACUAGAGGUAGGUAGGGGAGAAUGGAAUUCCCGGUGUAGCGGUGAAAUGCGCAGAUAUCGGAAGGAACACCUGUGGCGAAAGCGGCUCACUGGACCAUUACUGACGCUGAGGCACGAAAGCUAGGGGAGCAAACAGG